rnacentral:rRNA from 1 species
UACAGAGGGUGCGAGCGUUAAUCGGAAUUACUGGGCGUAAAGCGCGCGUAGGCGGCUUUGCAAGUCGGGUGUGAAAUCCCCAGGCUUAACCUGGGAACUGCAUUCGAGACUGCAUUGCUAGAGUAUGGGAGAGGGAAGUAGAAUUUCCGGUGUAGCGGUGAAAUGCGUAGAUAUCGGAAGGAACAUCAGUGGCGAAAGCGACUUCCUGGACCAAUACUGACGCUCAUGUGCGAAAGCGUGGGGAGCAAACAGG